rnacentral:lncRNA from 1 species
CCCAGAGCUGCACAUGUGGGUCUGCCGUAUUCUCUUUCAUGGCUGUUUAGCAGUUCCAUCAAAAUACACCUGCAUUUAUUCAGAAUACGGACCUCCUUUCAGCCAAGAGCAUACACCCUCCUCCUGGAAGUCUUUCUUGGUGCCUGCAGCAUGAAAUGGCCACUUCCUGUUCCAAGUUCCAAGGUCUCCGUGCCUUUCUCAGGCCCUACAUCAGUCAGGGAAAGGCUGUGCAUGACCGAGAAGCUCUUUCCUUCUUAGGUGAGCGUCUGGGUAGGUGGGGCAGCCCUGCCACUGCAGUCACUCCAGGACCAGGAUUCUCCCAAUGCCAUCACACAAUGGUCCCUCGACAUGCUUCACGCUGUAACCAGACAACUCUGCCAUCAAGCUGAAUGCUGUAGCUGACAACACCGGGUGUCUCGUGCAUACACACGCACACACUCGCACGUGCGCACACAUGCUGUUGUUAAGCACACUGACGUCACAGGCUGGGGAGCAGCCCUGCGCAGGAAAGACCCACGACUGCACCGCCCCUCUCCUUCCUGGAAAAAUGAUGGGGAACUGGGAAUCAUCUGUGCAGAUGCAGAAGAUGCAGCACACACAAGUGACUCCCAGGGUCCCGGCUGCAUCCCUGGCUGGAGAGAGGUGGCUAGCCAGCCACCAGCUCUGAUGGGUGGGAGUUCUGCAAACUUUCUUUACCUUUUGUGCUGCUGGUGGAGGUGCAAAGGAGGAGUACAGAGCCUACAGAGGAAGCGGGGAGCAAAAUGCUUGACUAAUUUGCUCCCUGAAUAAUCAGCCCCGAAUAACUGAGAACUGACUUGUAAUUACAGUUGUCUCCAUGUAGAAAUGCUGGCACUGGAAGACAAGGAAGAGGCAGGAGGGAAUGGUGGGGCUUGGAGGGGGCGCUCUUUCUGGGUUGGUGCCGGGCAGAGGACGCUGAUGGGGGUAGAGGACAUUUUUACUGUGAUUUUGCACUACAAGAGCCAAGGGUAUCACUGUUGGGAAGAUUGCAGGGAGGACGGGGGAGAAACAUAGACAGGAAGGAGCAAUCUUUCUCUCCAGACAGUAAACAACUGCCAAAUGAACCCCAGAAAUGACACUCUGAGAGCAUCUGUGGGAAACUUAGAGAGCUGCUCGCCCUGAAAGUUAUUGGUUUUGUUCAAGCUUCAUCUGAUGCUUGCUUUAAAAAAUAGGUUUGGUUUCCCUUCUUGCAAUAGUCUGGAGAGGAGAAUUGGCACAUAACAUCUGCCUGGUGUCAUCAUUUAGACGCUUAUGAUAAAUGGACAGUGACAAGGCAGAACAGAGAGAUCCUCAGACAGGAGACCCAGCCAGCUUCCUGUCUCUCCCUGCAGAUUGUCUGUGGGGGCACUGUGUGGAGAAAAUGUCCCAGCACAGGCCAGGGACCCUCCUGCCAUGCAGAGAGCCCUAGGCUUGCUCACUGCCCAGCUGUAAGAUGAGGAAGAUCAUAACUGUGGCUGGGAUUGCUUCUCAGUCCUAUGAGCUCCUCUGCAUUUCCCAGCCUCCUUUGCACUGGGGCUGACCACAUGACUGAUCUGGCCAAUGGGGAAGUGAAAGUGAUGUGUGUCAUUUCUGGGCUAAGUAGAGAGUGUGCUCUCUCAUACCCCCUCUCAAAUGUGUUGUAUCUACUUCAUGGAAGGAGCCCCUGUGGUUGAGAGUCAUGGAGGACAGGCAGCCAAGGAAGAAGCCUGUAUGGUUUGAGAUGCUUGUAACCAUAGCUAGUAUGAACUACCCAGAUUAAUACAGUAGCAUUCACUUGAGAGUUGCUGUGGAAAAUUAAAUGAGGUAGGCAGAGUAUCUAAGAAAUCAGCAAAGUGCCUGGGAGAAAGGAAACAUUCAAUAUAUGUUAGAUAUCUGUGGUAGUUAGGUGGAGUUUCCACUUGGCUGGCUUUGGGGUCCACUCUGGAGGUUGGUGGAACAUCUUCUAGGUGUGUCUGGUGGCCACGACCGUAGAGGCAGGGCCAUGAGGUCUCUGUCUGGUCUCUCACCCCUUCUUCUCUGGCACUGUUCUACUCUGCUUCCAGCCCACCAGGAAUUCCCCAUGAAUUCAGCAGCUCUGUGCCAUGACACCCUUCCGCCAUGAUAUUCCUGCCUUGGAGGCAGCUGAUCAUGGACUGAAUCCCAUGCACCACGAACCAAAUUAAAAUUCUUCUUCUUAAAGUUGUGGGUGUCACGUGUUGUGUCCCAGCAAUGGAAAAGCUGACUAAUACAGUAUCAGUGCUAAUUAUUGAGCAAAUAUUCAUUGAGCUCCUGUCAUGGACCAGGUCUGGAAUCACAACAGCAGACACAUGAAACCAUAUUUUGGAUUACGUGUUAUAUAGUGCAAUCUAGAGAAAAUUAGAUAGGACUCAUUUAUUCCUUCCUUCAAUGUUUACCUAACCCUACUGUUACGAUCUAGACCUACAAUGUCCUCCAGAGUCUCAUGUGUUCAGAAGAGGAGCUUUCAGAAGGUGAUUGGUUUGUGGAGCUCUGACAUCCUCAGUGGAGCAAUCCACAGGGUCAUAACUGGGUGAUGCUGUUGAGAACUGAUGGAAGCAGGUAUAGCCUUGGGAAUUUGAUCUGGGCCCUGGCCCCUCCUCUCUUUCCUUCUCUCUACUUCUGGCUGCCAUGAGUGAGCAGCUCUCCUCAGCUACCCACUUCUGCCACGAUGCUCUACCUCACCUCAGGCCCAAAGCUCCAGAGCCAAGUGAGGAUGGACUGGAACCCUUGAAGCUGUGAGCCAAAACAAGCCUUUUUUCUGGAAGUUGUUUUGCUCAGUAUCUUGCCACAGCAGCGAGGAGCUGACUAACAAGCCUCCAGGCACCGUGACGGGCGGCAGGGAGGCACAGUUGAUGACAUCAGUUUUUCUCUUAGAUUGUUUGUAGGUGGCCGAGAAAAGUACAGGCAAACAAAUAAUUUGAGUACCAAGUGACAAGCAUCUACGAAUCUUAUCAAAGUGCUACCAGCCUCACUAGUUCUGCCUGGGCGAAUGCAG